UUCGUAUUUCCUGAUAACCCCCAGCAGAAAUAGACAAACACCAAAACUUGUGGAAAUCUGUCAGAUGAAACCCUAAGUCUAGGUGUCGGUUGCAUUUGGAUCCUUUUUCAUGAUUAGUUGACGGUUAAAUGUGAGCAUUAGGGACCGUCAACAAGCUCCCCCAAGCUUAACCUUUGCUCGUCCCUGAGUAAAGAUGGACUCAAGAGUUUCUGCUAUGGUUUUAUGCCUUAAAGGUACACAUGCGUUCAACAAGAUCUCAUCUCUGGGUUAGGAUAAACUGUUAAUAUUUAAACUCACUCAUUUUUCCUUCCACCAUAGGGCUUGCAACCAUCACUUGUGUCUUGAGCAGUUAAAAGAUAGAACGGUCUAGUCAAGCGCCAUGUCUCUUGUUCUUCGAUUAACUAUAGCUCUGGAGUUUUUGCCGAUUUUCAAAUAAAACUCAGAGAUUCCUUGUAUGACUCUCUCUAGUCUCUCUUUUGUGGUAUUUCUAGAUCCUUACCAAGGCAGUAAUGGUGUAUGCCUUCUCUCAAAGUAAGUGGUAUUUUUAGUAUGAGGCAUAGUGGUAUUGCCUUCUCUCUCACCCUACUCUAAUAAGGUUUUGAUAUCUGGAGCUCAUAGGUGGGAGACAGCUAAUACAUACUUACAAGACACUUAUUGCAUAGUCAAACCAUGGAUCCAGAAGAACAAGUCAAUAAGUCAAAUCAAGAUGUGCAUGUGUGGCGAAUGAACGGUGAUAAUGGUGAAAAUAAUGGUGAAAGUCUAAUUCUACUUUUGCUCUUUUGAGGGGGUACAUACCUUUCUUGCACUUGAGGCUUUUGAGGGGAAUGAGACGCUCUAUAUUUUAUUUUUCUUUUCUCUCAGGUGGGUAUCUUGUACCCCUAAUUCUACUGUCGGACACUUGUCUAUUUUUACCUCUCGUCUCACUUUUUCUUUUUUUUCGAAGUUUCGGGCACUUGCUCCUUUUUAUUUCCUCGUAUUCACUUUUUUAGAGCACUCACCCUCCUGGAAUAAUGUAGCAAGUGGUAGUAACCAAAAUAUCUCGAGCAUUUAUUACACGGGGAAUAACAGGGAUAGGAUAAUGUUUUUGGCUAUUCUCUCCUAGAUAGGAGUAGAAUAAUUUUGGGUGAAUCUUGAUAUGGAAAUGAGUGGAUGUAUGUGGAUGCGUACUUCUGGAGUAGAAGCAGCAUGUAUGAGUGAAUGUGCAAGUGAAUCUUGAUUUUAACCGCAUGACAAGCUCCUAAGGGUCUACACAGCUUGACCACACUCAAUGCUCAUAAGCAAUAAAAAGUAAAUGUAUGGUUCAUAGUCUAAUAAGCAUGUAUAUAUGGCUGUGGUAGGAUUUUAAACUCUCAUCAUAUAGGAACUCAUCAUGCAAUAUUUUAAAGAUUUUCAAAGAUAAAAUUCUCCAGAAUUCUAGUAUCUCUAGGAACAGAUAAACAACAGAUCAACCUUCCCAUAUCGUAUCUGUUAACGACUUAAACUUUUGAUCAGGUACUCUUCCCGCAAAUUCAGGUUUAGAGCAAGCUUUAAAUUAUAACAAUUAUGCCUAAACUUAAGGGAGAGCUCAAAUUUGAAAACUAGGUACUUGGCAGAGCAACUAUUCAUCAUAUCCAUGUAAGAGUUUAUCAUUAAAGUUCAGUUUAGCAUAGACAC
rnacentral:lncRNA from 1 species